rnacentral:sRNA from 15 species
UUUUUUUGUUACUCCCUAUCUCUCUUUUUUUACCUACACAGAUCAUUAAGAAUAAGACCGUGACCAAAUCUAAAUUUUCUGUGAAAGCGAAGGUACAAAAAGCGCUUUCAAGUAAAAGUAGACCAAGUGCAGCCACGGGAUCAAAUUUGAUGUGGUAUAACUUUUGGUUGAAUUUCGGUUCAAAAUUGCUUCCCAUUACACGAGAGCGUUUGCAGUUUAAGAAGGGCGGUAUUGAAAAGGAAGAAAAAGAACUGCAAGCCUUAUAAUUUGUAUAGUCUUUGUGUCCAUUUUUAUUCAAUGAACAACCUGCGAAAAAAAGCGCACCUCCAAUUCCACAAAAGCGAAGUAAAAGCUUUCAGCUGUGUAUGAAAAACCAGAGGCGAACUAUUAGUCACCGGUGCUGUGAUGUUGUGCCUGGGAAGCAG